AUCACGUCAUCCCAUCUGCCCAGCCGUCCCUGGGACAAGUCUCACCCCUCCGUGAGAAUCAGGGAUGGGAUGGGGGUUGUAAUAAGGUAGGAUGUGAGAUUUCUCUUUUCUGGGUUGAGGGUGGAUGAGGCUACUCAGUUUCACCACAAAGACUGCAUCAAGGUGGCUGUCUGAAAAUGUCCGCUUUUUGCCUGUCAUUGCGUGGGCAGUUUUUGCGGAGGAGCCGACACCUGAGCUGGGCUUUGAAGGCAAGUCUUUAUUGCUAUCUCCCACCUCCAGAGCCAUCUAUUAAAUGGCACGAUGUGCUGGAAACAAACUCCAAGCAGGACUGGGAGAUUCACAAUCAGCUCACUAGAGAAGCCAUUGAAGAAACCGAGCCCAUCACCCUGGAGAAAACAAGACCUGGAGUGGAGUGAUUCCAUCCAUGUUGGGAUGAGCACCGAGCAGACACCAUGUGGUCGGAGAAGAAAAGCGCCAACGAACACCCCCAGAGGUGUGCUGUCUAGGAGGCUCCAAAUCCAGGCUAGCAGAUGAUGAAGAUCGUCACACCUCCAGUCCCAGUUAUGGCCUUCACCCUGCACAUCUCUUUUACAGCCUGCAUCUGUCUGCUUCUUUCUCCUGACCUACACCAACGAAUGCACACCCAGCCCCUUGAGGGUGCCCCUGCCUGCCCUUGUAUCCAGCCUCCUCCAUCCCUGCUUCCCCAUGUUUCCCUGCCCUGCUCCACACUUGCAGGAUGCCCCAUGGCUGGAGGCUCCUGACACUCUGGGCACACCCCACAGUGGGCCCACAGGUGCUGAUUUUACCUUGUCCCAACCCCUAUGUUCUCCAUCUCUCUGUCACUGCCCAUAGCCUACCCCAGGCUUCAAGCACACACUUGUUCACCUCGAGUAAGAUCAAAAAUAAACUCUCUGGAACCUGUUCAAAG
rnacentral:lncRNA from 1 species